GCGGCUCAACCCAACUUAACUUAACCAAAUCCCUUCAUCCUUUUCCUCACACUUGGAGGCUAUCAUCCUCUUAUACAUUUCUGACCUAUUAAGUGUGCACUCUCAAGGUCAACCGUUUUUUCAACUAUAGCCUUUUCAGACUCAUCACUUUGCAUCACGUCAAGUUUAGCUGGUUGUGCUUAGAAUGAUCAAUGAGGGUGUUCGAAUAGGUCCUUUGUGGAAUAUUCACCACCA
rnacentral:lncRNA from 1 species